GACGAACGCUGGCGGCGUGCUUAACACAUGCAAGUCGAACGGAAAGGCCCCUUUGGGGGUCCUCGAGUGGCGAACGGGUGAGUAACACGUGAGUAACCUGCCCUUGACUUCGGGAUAACUUCAGGAAACUGGGGCUAAUACCGGAUAGGAAUCCUUGCUGCAUGGUGGGGGUUGGAAAGCUUCGGCGGUUUUGGAUGGACUCACGGCUUAUCAGCUUGUUGGUGGGGUAGUGGCUUACCAAGGCUUUGACGGGUAGCCGGCCUGAGAGGGCGACCGGCCACAUUGGGACUGAGAUACGGCCCAGACUCCUACGGGAGGCAGCAGUGGGGAAUAUUGCACAAUGGGCGGAAGCCUGAUGCAGCAACGCCGCGGGCGGGAUGACGGCCUUCGGGUUGUAAACCGCUUUCAGCAGGGGCGAAGCUUGUGGUGACGGUACCUGCAGAAGAAGCACCGGCUAACUACGUG
rnacentral:rRNA from 1 species